AAAGUCUGACCGAGCAACGCCGCGUGAGUGAAGAAGGUUUUCGGAUCGUAAAACUCUGUUGGUAGAGAAGAACGUUGGUGAGAGUGGAAAGCUCAUCAAGUGACGGUAACUACCCAGAAAGGGACGGCUAACUACGUGCC
rnacentral:rRNA from 1 species